rnacentral:rRNA from 1 species
GAUGCAACGCGAAGAACCUUACCAUCCCUUGACAUCCAGUGAAUUUUCCAGAGAUGGAUUAGUGCCUUCGGGAACACUGAGACAGGUGCUGCAUGGCUGUCGUCAGCUCGUGUUGUGAGAUGUUGGGUUAAGUCCCGCAACGAGCGCAACCCUUAUCCUUAGUUGCCAGCGGUUCGGCCGGGAACUUUGGGGAGACUGCCGGUGAUAAACCGGAGGAAGGUGGGGACGACGUCAAGUCAUCAUGGCCCUUACGGGAUGGGCUACACACGUGCUACAAUGGCGCGUACAAAGGGCAGCGAACCUGCGAGGGUAAGCGAAUCUCAUAAAGCGCGUCGUAGUCCGGAUUGGAGUCUGCAACUCGACUCCAUGAAGUCGGAAUCGCUAGUAAUCGUGGAUCAGAAUGCCACGGUGAAUACGUUCCCGGGCCUUGUACACACCGCCCGUCACACCAUGGGAGUGGGCUGCACCAGAAGUGGUUAGUUAACGUCGGAGAACG